rnacentral:ribozyme from 2 species
UCUGUAAUGCAGCUAUCGAGGGUUUUCGAUAACGGUUCCAAGCCCGUACAAUGCAGAGGACAGA